UACGUAGGGCGCAAGCGUUGUCCGGAAUUAUUGGGCGUAAAGAGCUCGUAGGCGGUGUGUCGCGUCGGCCGUGAAAACCUGCAGCUUAACUGUGGGCUUGCGGUCGAUACGGGCAUCACUGGAGUUCGGCAGGGGAGACUGGAAUUCCUGGUGUAGCGGUGAAAUGCGCAGAUAUCAGGAGGAACACCGGUGGCGAAGGCGGGUCUCUGGGCAGUAACUGACGCUGAGAAGCGAAAGCGUGGGUAGCGAACAGG
rnacentral:rRNA from 1 species